rnacentral:lncRNA from 1 species
CUUGGAAUGUCCUUAAUCCUUGGCCUAGCUCUAAGGCAUGCAAUCCGACCUAUAUUCUAUAGCCAUGCUUGUACUCUACGAUCGAUCGACUCUCAUGAAUUCUCAUGAGACAUCACCCUAGAAUGCUCAUGAGACUUGCCAGCUCAUCCUUAUGCAAUGUAGCUAGCUAAUUCAGAUAGUAUUGCCCCAAACACCUUCAUGCAAGACCAUCC